UUAGCUAAAGCCAAAAAGAGGCUUAUCACUGUUAAUGAUAGAAUUGAAAUUUUUUUCUAGCUAAG
rnacentral:tRNA from 1 species